rnacentral:rRNA from 1 species
AGAGUUUGAUCCUGGCUCAGAUUGAACGCUGGCGGCAUGCCUUACACAUGCAAGUCGAACGGCAGCACGGGAGCUUGCUCCUGGUGGCGAGUGGCGAACGGGUGAGUAAUAUAUCGGAACGUGCCCUAGAGUGGGGGAUAACUAGUCGAAAGAUUAGCUAAUACCGCAUACGAUCUAAGGAUGAAAGUGGGGGAUCGCAAGACCUCAUGCUCGUGGAGCGGCCGAUAUCUGAUUAGCUAGUUGGUGAGGUAAAGGCUCACCAAGGCGACGAUCAGUAGCUGGUCUGAGAGGACGACCAGCCACACUGGAACUGAGACACGGUCCAGACUCCUACGGGAGGCAGCAGUGGGGAAUUUUGGACAAUGGGCGCAAGCCUGAUCCAGCAAUGCCGCGUGAGUGAAGAAGGCCUUCGGGUUGUAAAGCCCUUUUGUCAGGGAAGAAACGGUAGAGGCUAAUAUCCUUUACUAAUGACGGUACCUGAAGAAUAAGCACCGGCUAACUACGUGCCAGCAGCCGCGGUAAUACGUAGGGUGCAAGCGUUAAUCGGAAUUACUGGGCGUAAAGCGUGCGCAGGCGGUUGUGCAAGACAGAUGUGAAAUCCCCGGGCUUAACCUGGGAAUUGCAUUUGUGACUGCACAGCUAGAGUGUGUCAGAGGGGGGUAGAAUUCCACGUGUAGCAGUGAAAUGCGUAGAUAUGUGGAGGAAUACCGAUGGCGAAGGCAGCCCCCUGGGAUAACACUGACGCUCAUGCACGAAAGCGUGGGGAGCAAACAGGAUUAGAUACCCUGGUAGUCCACGCCCUAAACGAUGUCUACUAGUUGUCGGGUCUUAAUUGACUUGGUAACGCAGCUAACGCGUGAAGUAGACCGCCUGGGGAGUACGGUCGCAAGAUUAAAACUCAAAGGAAUUGACGGGACCCGCACAAGCGGUGGAUGAUGUGGAUUAAUUCGAUGCACGCGAAAACCUUACUACCCUUGACAUGUACGGAAUCUGAGAGAUUUAGGAGUGCUCGAAAGAAGAGCGUACACAGUGCUGCAUGCUGUCGGUCAGCUCGUGUCCGUGAGAUGGUGGAUAGUCCCGCCACGAGGCGCACCCUUGUUCACUUAGUUGCUACGAAGGUACU